CUUAACAGAUUUUGACAGUAAUAUGCUCUUAGAAUUUCAAGAUGUUGAAAAAUCAAGUCCGGCUGUUUGGAAUCGUGUUUCCACAGUUGCUGCAGAUGAUUAAGUCUGGUCAGGUGUAACAUUUUUAUCAGUGCCAGCUUCCUCGCAUGUGUCUCCAAAUAUCCUUCAUUUGAAAAUACCACUUCGUACGAACAAUCCGACAGGUGGAGAAAUUCCAGAUUGUGAAACCUCUCAAGUAAACCAAGUGGAAAGCAAGCUAAGUCAUCAUCCCCAACCUGUAGUCGUUUGAGACUGCCAAAGAGGUGUUGUGGGAAAUCGCCUUGCAAAAUCAUCGUGAUGUCUUUUCCACUUAAUGCCAGUUCCUCCAAGUUGGGUAAGAUCUGAUCAUCAUCAAGCACAAAUUAUUAACUUAGCACAUUGAUCCCUAAUUCGAGACUGGCAAAAUUCAUUGUUAUAUACACACACAUAUAUAUAUAGUAUUUAUUAAAAUUUCUGGUCUGUGAGUAAGAAACAACAAAGACAACUGACAAAAAAUCUAAAAGUUGGUUUCAUACCUUCUUGAACGAGAAUAGGGGCUGUUGUGCCGGAACACCAAAUUGAUCAUUCUCGUUAUUCUGGGAUAACGUCAUUUUAUCACAAUUACACGCCUCCAAUAUUUUUAGUGCUGGCCAUUCCGAUGUAUGCAUUCCAGGGUAUAAACAUCUAAGUUCUGGUAGACCUUCGAGUUUCAGAGUGGUCACCCGUGGAAAGACAAAAUAAGCGGUCACUUGAUCUGUUCUGUUUUCAGAAAUGAUUUCUUGUAAACUCUUACAUAACCGUAUCUCCAGGUGUUGGAGUUGCUCAAGGCUUUGGAUCGUAGAAGCUGAAAAUAUGUAUUUUAAUUUGUCACAGCCCCACACUAUCAAUCGUGUCAAACUUCGAAGGCAAGGAACCAUGGCCGGAAGUUGAUUGUAAUGCCAAAUCUCGUCGACAUUAAUAGCAUUCAGCUCCAAAGCCUCCAAAUUUGGCAACACUACCUAAAGAUAAUUUUGUCGUUAGAUCCAAUAUCCAUAUAAGAAGUGCUUAUUGAGAGCUUAAUUAGUGAGUGUAUGAGAUUUUUUUUUUUUGCAUUUUCUUUUUCUAAAUGAUUUAAUUUUUUUUCACUUAUGGCAUCAAAUGCAAGUUCAUGAUAGAAUAAAAAAAAAAAUGCAAUAUCCAUAUGAAAAGGACUUGUGUGGUCCAGUUUGGGAUUAUGGAUGCUGAUUAAAUAAGUUGCUCCUGCUGUACGGAUGCAAUAAGUAGUUGAUUAAAAAAGCAGUUAGCUGUUUGGUAAACUGUGUUGUUGCAGUUGCUGUGAGUUUGAAAAGCAAUGUACAUGCGUUUGGUAAAUUUUAUUACAAACGUGUUAUUUUAUCAUAUAAUGACCAAAAUAUAUAUAAGUUUAAAUUUCCGUUUAUUUUUUUUAAGCAUGUUUAAUAAUCUUUAGAUAUGUCAUUUUCUUUUUAAAAUACGUAAAAUUAUAUUAAGUGAAAAAACUUAAUAAUUUGUUACAUAAAAUAUGAUAAAAAUUUAUACUAGUAUAUGAUCCAAAUAAAAUAAAAAAAGUAAUAUGCAUUACUUUCACAUUAAACUUGUUGCAAUAAACACCAUGACUAUAGAAAAUAUAAAUAGAUUGAAUGUUAAAAGCUAUGGUUAUAAAAUUGAUUUUAAAAGUUAUGAUUAAUUUUCAUGUGAAAUUGUUUAUAGUUCAAAAAAAAUUUACAUAAUUACAUGCAAGUCUUUUUUAAUCUUAUUAUAGAAAAUACAAGUAUAAUAUAAAAAAUAUGAACUUACUAAAUCAAAACUUUGAUAUUAGAGAGAAUAUAUAGUAGUUGUGGUGGUAAUAUGAUAUCUAAUAACUUAUAUAUUAGAGUGUAUGGAAAUAUAUGACAUAAUUAUUUUUGUUAAAAUAUUAAUUAAGGUUAUAAUAGAAACUUUAAAAAGAUGUGAUAGCUUAUUUAAUAAGCUGCUUAUGAAAAGUAACUCCCUAUCUGCUUUUAAAAGUUAAUGUCAAAAUAGAGAAAAUUAUAAAAUAAACAGUUUUUACAAAAUUUAACAAAUACUAUUUUUGUCACAGAUUAUGAAAUAGACAGUUUAUUGAGUUUUAACCUCAAUUCCAAACAGGGGCCACAAUAUCCACAUGACAAGCACUUAUUGAGAGCUUAAUUUGUGAAUAUAUGAGAUUUUUUUUUCUUUUUCUAAAUGAUUUAAUUUUUUUGCACAUAUGGCAUCAAAUGCGAGUGCAUGAUAGAAUAAAGGAAAAAAAAAAAAAAAGAAUGCAUUACCCUACGCACCUUCUCGUUGAAAAGCAGAGUUGAAGUAUCCGAACUGAUCUCGUUGGAACUAGCUAUCAAUUCCUCUUGCGACUCUUGUCUGUUUGGUGAUGUGGAAGGAGUCUUCACUUCACGGCAAAACCUUGUAACCUUUGGAAGCGUUCCCAGACUCAAAGAUCUUAGUUGACCAAACUCUAUCGUCUCAUCAACAUCGACAUCAGCUUCUCCUCCAGUUGCAAAAAUCUCUUCCAUGCUGCUGCAAUUGAGAACUGCAAUCCUCUCAAGUCUUGGAAGGCAUUUUGUACUACUAGAGAGCCAGAAGAUAUUACUCAUCUCAUCACAAUUUUCCACUUUUAUGGUUUGGAGUUCAUUGAAGGACUCUAUUGUGAGUCGAUCAAUACAUAUCCUCUCCAUAUUGAUCAAAUUGUGAAGAGUAAGGGACUCCAAAAGAGGAAAGGCGACACAAGGUUCUCUCUCCAUUGAAUCGGCAAUACACAGGAAGUCUGGAUUAUUUUGAACAUGGAGAUGCUUCAAUUGUGAAAAGCCCUCAGUGUCCAAUUCGAAAACAACAUUCUUGAUUCCUUGCAACUUAUCUAAACAUAAGUAUUCAACGUUAUUGAUGCCCUGCAACUUCUCGGAGCAAAUGGCCAUAGAAUCAAGCUUGAGCUUCAAUGUUCUUAAACUCUCAUGAUUACUGAUUGUUAGAGCAGCUCAUUAUGCUGAACAGAAGAAGGUGAAGACUAAGAUGAAGAAAAUACAGAGCAAGUUACAGGGCAAGUGUGUCAGCAGUGCCAGCUCAGCUAACAGCUCAGCAGAUUAGUUAAAGAUGGUUGUAAGCAUGAUGUGCAUUGUACUGAAGUUAGUUAGCUUUGAUUACAGUUAGUCUUUGGAUUAGUUAAAUGAAGUUACCGUGAUUGCAUUGUAUAUAAACAGGUGAUGCUUUGUAAUCAAAAGUUAAGCAAAAUAAAAAUCAAAGUUUGUUAAGGAAAUAUCUCCAGAAUUAUCAAUUCAUUUUCUUAGUAACCAAACAACUUUAUUUCAUUUUUCUUUCAUGGUAUCAGAGCAAGGUUAAUGGCUAGUUCCAGUAGCACAACAUCAAAUCCAAAUCAAAUGAAUAUAAAUCAAUCAUCACAUAUCUCCUUUUCGUUCAGCACUCCAGUCAAAUUGGAUCGAUCAAAUUUCAUGAUUUGGCGAAAGCAAGUUCUUACUACAAUAAGAGGAAAUCGUCUUGAAGAUUUUAUUUCUGGAAAUCAAAUCAUACCAGAACAAUACAUUUCUAAUACAGUAGCUGAUGGAUCAGUACAGAGAAUCACGAAUCCAGCUUACAUCAACUGGCGAGCUCAGGAUCAAACUUUGCUUGGCUGGAUUUUGUCAUCCAUAAGUGAAGGUAUCUUAAAUACUGUUCUUAAUUGCGAAAAUUCAUUUGAAGCAUGGAGAUCAAUUGAAAAACAAUUUGGAGUACAAUCUGAGGCUAGAGUAUUGCAAUUGAGGUAUGAAAUGAAUGUCCUUAGAAAAGAGAAUAUGUCUGUUGAGGAGUACUGUUUAAAAGUAAAAGCUGUUGCUGAUAAGCUUGCUUGUGCUGGUAGCCCUGUGUCUGAGAAAGAUCUGCUAAUGCAAAUUUUGAAUGGCCUAGGACCUGGAUUUCUAGAUCUUGCUUCAAUAAUUACUGCUAAUAGAAUGUCGUAUGAUGAUGCUUAUGCAUUACUCUUAACACAUGAGGCAAGAAUGGAACAAAAUCAUAAUACUAAAGAUCUUUUUAGUGCAAACUAUGGGAUGAUGAAUGCUAACUACUCUCAGUUUAGAGGAAAUAAUAAGAGAGGUGGUUAUAGUGGAUAUCAAGGGCAAUUUAAUGCUGGAAAUAGGAAUCAAAAUGGAGGAAGAGGAAUGUUUUUCAAUUCAUUCUCAAGAGGUUUUCCAGCUGGUGGAUAUACUGGUAAUGCUGGUGGCAGAGGACAGCAAAUGAAUGCAUAUGCUUAUAAACCUGUGCUUAACAACAGGCAUAAUUUCAAUAUGAAUCAUGGCUCAACUUCAAUGUCCAAUGGAAAUGGAUCUGAUGAUAAUGUGCUUAUCUGUCAAAUCUGUCAUAAAGCUGGACAUGCAGCUGAUGUUUGUUGGCACAGACACUUUGAUGGCUAUGCUCCUCAACCCAGACAAUUUGGAAGGGGCAGAGGGCAUAAGUCUGCUUAUAUGGCUAACUUUGAUCCACAAAUUGGCUUUACUUCACAAUUUGAAGAUUCGUUUGCUACAGAAUAUCCUGGUUAUCAUGGGUACCAUCCACCUGAUAUGAAUGCAUCAGUUGCAUCAGUAAGUCAUCACUCAUCUGAUAUGCAUUCUGUACCUGGAGCAGCUUAUAUUGCAAAUUUUGAAGGACCAGCUGAUGAAGGGUGGUAUCUUGAUAGUGGAGCUACGCAUCACAUCACUAACAACAUGGCCAAUAUGCAUAUCAGAGAUCAAUUCAGUGGAGCAGAUCAGCUCAUUAUUGGAAAUGGACAAGGUUUGCCCAUAACUCAUGUUGGUGAUGCAUCCUUUCUCUUUAAAAGUUCCAAUUCUACACACAAACACUCACCUAUAGUACUUAAAGAUAUUCUGUUGGUGCCUUCCAUUACCAAAAAUUUGUUAAGUAUCUCGAAGCUUACCACUGAUAACAACUUGUCUGUUGAAUUUCUUGGAAAUGUUUGUUUUGUGAAGGAUUCUCUGAGGGGACAGGUACUUCUGCAGGGUCUUGCUGAGAAAGGGUUAUACAGGCUGUUAUUGAAAUCAUCAUCAUCCUCUCAGUUAUCAUCAUCUUUUCUUUCUCACAUGUGUUCCAAUAAACCUUUGUCUAUGCUUUCUUGUUGUUGUUUCAAUUCUGUUCCUUCUGGAGUUGUUACAGAAUCUCAGAAAUCAUGUAAUCAAACUGAUGAUUCAUCUUGUAAAACUUCAGUUAAUAAAGCUAUUUUGCUUCAUAGAAAGUUUGGUCAUCCCAAUCAUCAAAUAUUAACUCAUAUACUCAAAACAGCAAAAUCUAUUCAUUUACCUGCAUAUCAAAAGCAACAAAUGCAUCAGCACAUCUGUGAGGCCUGUCAAAUGGGCAAAACACAUAAACUUCAUUUUCCUAUUACUGAAACCAAAACCUCCAAAACUCUAGAACUUAUACACACUGAUUUAUGGGGUCCUUCUCCCAUUAUUUCUAGAGAUGGUUAUCAGUAUUAUAUAAGUUUUGUAGAUGACUACAGCAGGUAUACAUGGAUUUAUCAUUUGAAGCUAAAGUCUGAGGCAUUAGAAGUCUUUAAGCUCUUUAAACUGCAGGUUGAAAAUCAGUUUAGCACAACCAUUAAGAUGAUGCAAUCUGAUUGGUGGGGAGAGUAUAGACCAUUCACUGAGUUUUUAAGCCAAUUUGGUAUCAUCUUUAGACAUCCUUGUCCUUAUACUCAUCAUCAAAAUGGGUUAGUUGAAAGGAAGCAUAGACAUAUUGUUGAAUUGGGUCUGACUCUCUUAGCUCAAGCUCAACUUCCCUUUAAGUUCUGGUGGGAUGCAUUUCAUACUGCUGUAUAUCACAUCAACAGACUUCCAUCUCCUGUUUUGCACCUUUUAACCCCAUAUGAAAAGACAUUCAAACACAAACCUGAUUAUGAUUUUCUCAGAUGUUUUGGGUGUUCUUGUUAUCCUUACUUGAGAGAUUACAAUAAACAUAAAUUUGCCUACCAUUCUAGUAAGUGCAUAUUCAUUGGUUACAGUCCUUCACAUAAGGGCUACAAAUGUUUACACCCUUCAGGUCGAGUCUAUGUGGCAAGACAUGUUACCUUUGAUGAAUCAGUUUUUCCUUAUGCCACUGAGUUUGUUUUUCAUAGUCAUGCUAAAACUGAUUCUCAAAUUUCUCAUUCCCAUACACCACAGCAAAUCCAUCAUAUCUCUUCUUUGCCUGUCAAUAACAGCACUGGUAAUCUGAACUCUGUAAGAUCUGGAAGCAGCAGUUCAAGUCACUCAGAUCAUCUAGAACAGACAGCAACUGAUCAGAAUUCACAACAAGCUACCAUAAAUGACAGGUCACCUUUUCAUACAUGUCCAACAAUUGUUGAAUCUAUACAAAAUAUUCCAGAACCUCCACAUCACUCUUUGCCUAUACAAAGUCACCAUCCUAGCAACACCUCUUUCUAUCCAUAUACACAACCAAAUACACAUCAGAUGAUAACCAGAAGUAAAGCAGGGAUUUUCAAACCCAAAAUUUAUACUGCUGUGCUUACUCACAAGGAACCAGAUACUGUGCAAGAAGCAUUAAAUGAUUCAAAGUGGCUACAAGCUAUGAGGGAGGAAUAUGAUGCCUUGAUUAAGAAUAAUACAUGGACAUUGGUUCCAAGACAAGCUGAUCAGCAUGUGGUUGGAAAUAAAUGGGUGUAUAGAAUCAAAUAUAAUACAGAUGGAAGUAUAGCUAAGUAUAAAGCUAGACUUGUUGCAAAGGGUUUUCAGCAAGUGGCAGGGAUUAACUAUUUUGAGACAUUUAGUCCAGUUGUGAAGUCAGCUACAGUUAGAGUAAUACUUAGCUUGGCAGUGAUGAAUCAGUGGAGAAUAAGGCAAGUGGAUGUCAAUAAUGCCUUUUUGAAUGGAGAGCUAACAGAAGAAGUUUUCAUGUCUCAACCUGAUGGCUUUAUUGAUGCUCAGAGAUCUGAUUUUGUAUGCAAAUUACACAAGUCUCUGUAUGGGCUCAAGCAAGCUCCUAGAGCCUGGUAUGACAAGCUUAAAGGAUGCUUAAUAAGCUGGGGUUUCACUACUACUAGUUCUGACACCUCAUUGUUUGUUAGGAAGAUCAAGACAUCUAUGAUCAUAGUUCUUAUAUAUGUUGAUGACAUACUGAUCACAGGUCCAAACACUGAGGAGCUGGAAGGUUUCAUAACUGAAUUCAGCAAAACUUUUGCUCUAAAGGAUCUGGGAGUGUUAUCUUAUUUCCUUGGAAUUGAGGUAUUAUAUGAUGCAGAUUGUAUGUACUUGUCACAGAGAAAGUAUAUCAGAGAUUUGUUAUCGAAGGUAGAAAUGACUGAAUGUAAGGGCAUUGAUACACCCAUGAGUACUGGCUCUAAACUGCAAAAGAUAGUUCAGGGGGAACUUGGAUACUAUCUUGAAGAUCCAACUCAUUAUAGAAGCAUAGUUGGAGGAAUGCAGUACCUGAUACUUACCAGACCUGAGAUUGCGUUUGCUGUAAACAAGCUCAGUCAGUAUGUAGCUGCACCAACACUACAACAUCUAAUGGCAUGCAAGAGAGUUCUAAGAUAUCUGAAGGCAACUCAAGAUUAUGGUUUAAAAUUUUUCAGAGAAGGAAGCUUAACACUCACUAGUUUUACUGAUGCAGAUUGGGCAUGUGACUUAGAUGAUAGGAAAUCAGUUGGUGCUUAUUGCAUUUAUUUAGGCAAUAAUUUGAUAUCCUGGUCUUCUAAGAAACAAUCAGUGAUAACCAGAUCAAGUGCCGAGAGUGAGUAUAGAGCUUUGGCAUCAGUGAGUGCAGAGCUGACAUGGUUACAAUCCUUAUUUUCUGAGUUGGGAUUAAGUUGCAUAGAAAAGCCAAUCAUAUGGUGUGACAACAUUAGUGCCACUGAACUAGCAAAGAAUCUUGUGUAUCAUUCAAGAACAAAGCAUAUCGAAAUUGAUAUGCACUUCAUUAGGAAUAAGGUUCUUGCUGGUGAGUUGAUUAUUCACUAUGUACCAAGUGAAGAACAGAUUGCAGACAUAAUGACCAAGCCUCUCUCAUUUGUAAGGUUUAACUACUUGAGGUCCAAACUCAAUGUCCAUCUUUGUCCUCUGAGUUUGAGGGGGGCUGUUAGAGCAGCUCAUUAUGCUGAACAGAAGAAGGUGAAGACUAAGAUGAAGAAAAUACAGAGCAAGUUACAGGGCAAGUGUGUCAGCAGUGCCAGCUCAGCUAACAGCUCAGCAGAUUAGUUAAAGAUGGUUGUAAGCAUGAUGUGCAUUGUACUGAAGUUAGUUAGCUUUGAUUACAGUUAGUCUUUGGAUUAGUUAAAUGAAGUUACCGUGAUUGCAUUGUAUAUAAACAGGUGAUGCUUUGUAAUCAAAAGUUAAGCAAAAUAAAAAUCAAAGUUUGUUAAGGAAAUAUCUCCAGAAUUAUCAAUUCAUUUUCUUAGUAACCAAACAACUUUAUUUCAUUUUUCUUUCACUGAUCAUAAAGUGCUGCCGACAUUCAAACCAGUCGUUCCCAAUAACCUUGGUAGAGUCGAAUGAUGCAUCUCCUAUUGAUAUAUCAAACCUUUCCAGCUUUUUGGAAAAAAAGCCAUCCGGUAAAAUGCUAUCGUUUUUAACAUCUAUUUCUAAAGUGGUCAAUCGCCUCAAAUGCAUCAAUUCGUCGAGGGUGGCAUUACUUCUUUCACUAUUGGCUUUUUCAACUUCCCAUUCAACAGGGGAAUUACCCAUAUACAGUUCUUCCAAUCGAGUGAAGCUUGAUAAGAUGUUGGGCAAAAUAAAUUUUAGUUGCAAACAAUCUCUUAAAUCUAGCAGCCUUAACUUAGUCAGUUGACCUAGUUCGUAAGGCAACCGUACAAUAUCAGACCUUAAAAAGCUAAGGAUUUCUAGAUUCUUCAACUUCCCAAUUAUGGCUAUGUCUCCCAACAUGCUUUGUACUAGACACAGUGUUUGAAGAUUUGCUAGAAGAUCGAUUGAAGAUGGCAAUGAAAAUAAUCGCAUUCCUGUCAAAUCCACAACUCGAAGCUUUUUCAUCCCUUUGAAAAAGUUCUCAGGGAUAUUGAGCUCGACAAAAGAGUCUUUGGGAUGAAUAAGUAAAAAUUCAAGUUGCGGACAUUCCAAUUCCUUAGAAACUUCAUGAAUGCUACUAUACAGUAAAGAGAUUGCAGAGCAUUUUUUAAGUGCAUCCUCAUCUGGCCACUCCCACACAACCUCACUUCUCACCAAGAAAACAUGUUGUUCUCGACAUGCAAUUGAAAUGGCAACAUCGCAGACAACAUCAUGCAUAGAAAAUUGUUCAUUACUAUCACCCUCAAGCAAAAAACAACAAUCUCUAAGUUCAUGGAGCAAUGCAUAUAAUUUGUUUCGUGCAUCUACCAUCCUGUUGACUCCUUGAAAUAUGCCCAAACCCAUAGAGUACCUAAACAAGUCUAGAAACCAAAAACUGUUACCUAUUAGACUACAGAGAAGAAAAUUUUUCUUGAGUUGCUCACCUUUUAAAUACUUGAAACUCAGCUCAAUACUUGAAUAAGUCUCUGCAGGCACACCUUCGAAGUUUACCAUUGAAGGCGUUUGGAGUUCUCGCAAGGCAUUCUUCCAUUCAUGCAGAGUCUUGUUUCUCAGUGCCCUUGCCACUGUAGUCAAGGCAAUGGGCAAACCUCCACAUGCCUGGGCUACAUUAAUUGCUAUAGACUUGAACUUACAAUUGUCAACAUCAUCACCAAUCAUUAUCUUAAACAAUCUCCAAGCUUCUUCUUCAUUUAGAUUGCCAAUCAAAAAGUUAUCUUUGGAGCCCAUACUUAAUAGUACAUUAUUAUCUCUUGCUGUGAGCAAUAGUCUACAUCCUUUAUGAUCAUUUCCAAAAGGAAUUCCAAUCGUCUCCAAAUCAAGAUGUUUCCAGAUAUUAUCUAGAAUCACAAGAAUCUUAUUCUCAUUCUUCAAUCGUUCAUACAGCCUGCUGGCUCUUCUAUAUUCAGCUUCAUCGGACAACUCCAGACCUAACUUCUCUGCAAUUUCCCCUUGUAUCUUUUUUAUGUCUGGAGUUUGUGAAACCUCUGAAAAAACCACACGAUCAAACAGCUUCUUUUCCCUGGCUUGCCUAGCAAACUCCUUCACCAGUGUCGUCUUUCCAAUGCCGCCCAUGCCGUACACCCCAAUAAUGCUGACGUUCACAUCAGUCAACACAUUUUGUAUAGACUUCAAAGUAGAAACUCUUGAUUCGAAGGCCUCGUAACCUUUGUUAGACUUAAGCCAUAUCUCCUCCGGAAUGGCACGGUGGGAAACGAUAUCAAACUUCUUAACUUCUUCUCCAAGUUCAACAAGGGCCUUCACCUCUGUCUCUGCUUUCUUGCUAAGCUGAUAGCGGGUCUUCAAAUUAGGACACAAGCCCUUGAGACAGCGCUUAUUUGUUGACUCUUCAUCUUCAACGAAUUUGGCUGCCCGGUCAAUGAUGCCGUUAGCACUAACCAGCCACUUCUCAACCUUCUCUUCAAUCUCUUCCCCUUUUUCUUUCGCCUCUGAAACUCUGCGCUGAAUGCUCGUACGUUCAACCUUCAACUUCUCCAUUUCCGCCUUGAGAUUCUCAAGGUUGGCAUUGUAGUUCCGCUUGCGCAAAUAAACAAGUUGGCGUUCUGUUGGAGGAGCCAAGCAUUUUACAAGUUCCAAAAUGAGAGUAACAAUGAUUUCCAGCAUCUUGAAUCCUGACAACAAUGUAGAAAUGAAGAAGGCCAAAGGACAGUAAGAACAGAGAGACAACGAUACGACAAGCAGUUAUGGAGCUAAAAAUAAAUAACAAACAAACAGAAGCAAAGUGUUUUUCGAAUGAGAAGAAGGAAGCAAGAAAAGGGUUUCUAUUUAGAUUAAGAAUGAAUGUAAAGAAGUGACAAAGAUGUCACAUAAUGUAAUUAAGUACUGAAUCCAAAUCCUAUCCUAAAUGGUUAGAUAAAAAUAAGGGAAUGAAAAGAGUAAUGGUAGAUUAAUUUAUGAGGCCAAUUAACGAAACGACAGAUCUGGUUUCCAUGUUUGUAAUUUAAGUGUAUGAGUACGAGGUGAACCAACUCUUUGUCGAGUCAAGCAAUUAGAAGGAGAAAUUACUAAAACAAGAACCAGCAACUUUUACUCACACAAGAGCUAAUAAUGUAUUGAGAUUGUGCAGAGUAAUACAAAACCUUAAAACUAGUAUAAUAAAUUUGUCAUCAAGUUUUAGCCUUCUUCUUCAACCAAUUACAGCACUAUCUUGAGCUCUGAGUUUCUUUUUUUAAAAUUUUUCAAAAGAUCUUUGUCAUUAGUUUUUCAAUGAUAAAAAUUAUAUUUUUAUCUCAUAAAAUAUAAAAUUUUAAAAAAAUCAAACAUAUAUUAUAGGUUUGUUUGAGAUUAUUUUUAAAGGCUCAAAAGUCACUUUUUAAAGUUAAAUGUUAAUUUUGGUAUUUGGUAAAAUUUUUAGAAAUCACCUUUGGUAAAAUCACUUAUCCCACAACAAAUUUCGGAAAGCAAAAAAGGAAUAGUUUGUCAAAAUCUAAUUUUGAUAACCAGUUUUAUACUUAAUAUAAUUCUAUAUACAACCUUAUAUAUAUUAUAAAAAAAAAAUAUCCUUAUUAUUUAGGAAAUAAAAUUAUUAAUUUUAAAGAUAUUUUAACAAUUACAUUGAGAUAACAAAAUAAAAAUAAAAUUAAUAAUAUAAAAUAUCUAUUUCUGUUAUCAAUUAUUAUAUAUACAAGAUAAAAAAAAUAUGUUAUAUACAUGUUUAUAAAUGUAUAAAUAAAUUUUAUCUAACAUUAUGUUCAAUUAAGUCAUUUACAUUAAUAGCACUUUUACAAGUAAAUUUUCCUAAAUGUUUAACUGAUUAUCUUCACAGUGAUUAUUUCCACAACAUAACUACCAGAAAUUAUUGUAAAAGAUACAACAUUACCAAAAAAAUAUUGAGGUACAUUUUAAUUAAGUAAUUGACUUAAUUAUGAAUCAAUUUAUUAUUUUCAUCUGUGUUAUCUAAACCAGCUCAUUAAUGAGAUCACUCUUUUUCUUAAAUAAAAUAUUCCUGCCAAACAAUUGUUGCAAAAUUUCAAAUAUAAAUUACAAACAGCAAAAUUUUCUAAAGUCAUAACAAUUAUUUAUGUUUUGAAGGGUCCAGCUAGCUUGCAACCGUGAUUUGGUACCCCAUUUUUUGUCUUUUUGUGAUCCAACCAUUAGAUCCAACCCAAAAGUUGUAAAAGCUAUUCCAACGGCAAGGAUGCAAUUACUUAGUUAUUAACGCUGAAGCCCCUCUUGUUUCAUAAAAAAAAGAAAAGGUUAAAUUUCAAGAUUUUGACACAUAAGUCCAUCAAAAUAUUUUAUGAUUUUUAUAUGAGUCCAGGUAAUUUAAUAAAUGAAUAUAUUUAGAUAUACAAAAAUAUGGAUGGAUUAUUUUAACUUGCUAAAAUACUCCCCACAUCCAUUUAUUUAAAAUAUCAAUUACAAAAAAUCCCAUUUUUUAGUAUAAUUUUUUUAAAAAUAAAAUACCCAUUUAAUGUUUUACCAUUUAAGAUAGUGUUACUUAUAAGGAUAAAUAAUUAUUUUAACUAAAUAAAUGAAACUUAACUUUUAUUUCUAUAAAUUUGCUCAACAUCAUAUAACCUUAUAAUUGUUAGCAUAAGAUAUAAAUUUAGUCUAAAAAAUUUAUUCAAAGGGUCCCCUUAGGGCAAAAAAUUAAUUAUCAUAUGAUAAUUUGGUUGGCACAAACUCUAUUAUUCUUAAUUUACUUAUCCAUGCCAAACACUAUAUUGGAAUUAAAUUUUAGUAAAAUAAACAUAUGUCAACAUCUUUAACCGCAUUCAACUGACCCUAAUUGUUUAGAUUUUGUUAUAGAGAGCAAGAUAUAGUUCUUUUCUUAUUAUAGUAGUAAAAAUAAAUAAAAAUAAACACAAUAGAUUUCUUUUAAGAGAAUGCAAGCAUUAUUUUUAUGAGAUUUUGUGUUCAAGAAAUUAAUCUAAUUAUGUGGUUAGAAGACUCUCUAUUUUGUGAUAUUUUAGAAGAAUUAUAUGUUGGAUAAAUGAAUAAAUUAAGAUCAAAGCAAAACAAAAAUGAUUGAGAAGAAAACCGAGAGAGAAUAAUUUUUUAAAUUUUAAAAUUUUCAUUUUUUAAUUGGGGUUUAUUUUGUAAAAUUAUUGCAAUUUAUAGUUUUUAAUAUUACCAAAAACAGUAGAGAUUGCUAAAGAAAAUGCCAAACAAAUUUUUUAGAAUUAUAAAAUUAUUAUAUUUUAAUUAGGGCUUGUUGUGUAAAAUUUUUAAAAUUUAUAGUUUUUAUUAUUUACCAAAAACAAUGAGGAUUGUUAAAGAAAAUGUCAAAAUUGGGUGUUUGGUAUAACGGAGGCAAAGUAGUUUCGUCCUGUUUUGAAUACAUGUAACUAAACCACAUUGAAAGUUGUCAAAACAGGAGGACCUAAUGUUAGUAAAAUUAUUUUUCAAGCAAAUGCAGUGACGAAUUUGGUUUCAUGUUUCACCCUCGAUAACUUAAUUUUCAUAUCUAACAAAUCAUCCAUAUUAUUAACAAUAUCAUCACCAACCAUAAUCUACCUAAACAUAAACUAAACAUAACACAUACAUAUAACUAUAUACAUACCGAAUCAGGAAAACAAUGAGAGCUACACGUAUCCGGCUCCACAAUUCCUUGUUGAUACCCUUGUGCUUCUAAAAUUAUCAACCAAUUAUAAAAAUUAGCUUAGGCGCAACUUUACCCCUUUUUUUUGGAAAACUUAACUAUAAAUAAAGUAUACAAAUCUCUAAAUUAACUUUUUUCCCAUGAAAUUCAGCAUAAAUAGAAAUAGAAUUAUAGAAAUCUUACUUCCUUUUAUGAGAAAUCCAACUUAUAUAUUUGAGACCUCUCUCUCUAAGCACGCGCUUCCUCUCUCUGUAUACUUUCCACCUUUAAAUUCUCCUCAUUAAAUCUGUCUAAAUGAAUUUAGCAGUCUCCCAGUUUCUUUAGCAUUUUUCUCCGUGAAAAUAAGUGAAAAGCGAAAGUGAUUUGAUUAUUUUAAUGUAUGACAGAUCUGGUUUCCCAUCUCCGUAAUUUAAGUGUAUCAAAUUGUCGAGUCAGUCAAAUAUAAAAGACAAAUUACUAAACCAAGCAGAGCCAAAAAAAAAAAAAAAUUCCAAUUAAAUAAUCAUCAAGUCUUUUUCAAUUAAAAUAGGGAGUGCAGAACAACUGUCGAGAGAUAAUCAUUGUUUAUGGAGCCAUAUUAUAUUUUCGAUUAAAAUAUUUGCGCGUGAACAAUUGGCAGAAUUCGUAUAAAUUGUUGUAAGGUCUAUUAUAAUUAACAAGCGGAAUGGCCAAUGGAUGAAGAACCACUGUAAUUUCGUUUAUGAAUUUAAAAUGCUAAAGAAACUGGACAUCAACGCUAAAUGUUAGCCUGCGGUCCUUGCCUCAGUUUCUUUCAGGCGUUACUCUGGGUAGUUGAUAUACUGACCGUCCCUUUAUCAAUUAAUAAUCGAAAUAGGUUAAAAUAUGAAUGGAUUGGAAUGGUAUGACUUGGAAAUGGGAUGACAAUCAGAUUAAUUUAUUCAUUUAAACUGAGAAAUUAGAAUCAAAAUAAAUUAUAUUGUUAUUGAUAUAUUUACUUUAUCUUAAAAUUAUGAUAAGUUGUUACGAGUUAUUAAUAUGCCUUAUUUUUUAUUAUAAUAAUUAUUAUUUAUUAUAACAUUUUUCAUAUAAUAAUAAUAAUAAUAAUAAUAAUAAUUAAUAUUGAAAAAAUUUUAUUGUUAAUAAUAAAGUAUCAUUAGAGUACUAGACAAGCUCACCACGUCUAAGCUAAGUGAAGAAAUAGACUUCAUCAACAAAGCUUUUGUGAAUAUGCGUUACAUUACAACUGCGAUAUCCUUUCACUGUAUAUUCAUACAGUGGCAGGCCAUGUGACAUUGUGACCCAUGUGCUAGCUUUCACUAGUCAUAUUAUUUUUUUACACGGUGUUUAACAAAAUCUUCACGUAAAGAUUUCAGACGCGUGAUCCUAAUUCAAUAUGCAUUAUUUAUUUAUUUAUAAAAUGAAAAUAAAAAGAUAAAAGGAUGUGACUUAACUUGCUAUCAGUGCGGAUCCAGGACUUAAUAUUAUUUCGGGUUAAAUUUUAAAAUUUAUAUUUUGAAGUGAACAUAAAAAUUUAUAAAUAAAAAGAAGUAUAUUAAAUGAGGGGAGACAUGGAGAGCUUUAUCCCUAUGAAUAUGUAUUAUAAACAAAAAUAAUUAUAAGAAAAGAAUAGAAACCAAAAGGCAAUUCAAAUAUCAAAACACUAUUUUUCAAUUAUGAAAUCCGACAUUGCAACCUAAUAACAUGUAAUUAUAUAAGGAUUAAUAAAUCAAUUAAGAAUUUCAAACUAAAUUAGAUCAGUACAUGUAAUUAAAAUUAAUUAAAGAUUUCAAGUAAAACUUUUAUGUUUGAAGUCAAGUACUAAAUUACCAAGCUUAAAUAAAUUUAAAAAAUUAAAAUUCAUUCAUUCUUUCGAAUUAUAAAAGUAUCAUUAGUCAAAAGUUUUAGUAAUAAACUAAACUCAAUUCAACAAAAAGUUAUUUGGAUAUCGUUGUUUCAUUGCCAGUGCACUGACUUUCUUUAUAGAAGUAUAUGUUAAUGAUUCUUCUAUUAAAGCUCUUCAAAAUACCUAAAUUUUAUUUUCUAACUUCUUCUCGUAGUUAAUGUAACUAAUAAAUAGAAUCUGAAAAUUCACAUAAAAUAUUUAUGAAAAUGUUGAUAAUUGUUACUAUAUGUUGUUUUCGUAAGUACUUUUAAUGCUAGUAACGAUGUUAUAUUACAUUGAUUUAUAUUUUUUUCAAUUAGAAGUUUUUUAAAAUAAAUUAAAGCAAUAAUAAUAUUUUAGCUCCCUAAUGUUUUCAAUCUAUCCAAUAAGUAUAUAAUUUAAUCAUUUUAUAAAAUAAGUCACUAAUUUCAAUUGGAAAUAAUACAAUUGAAUUAGGGACAUAUUUGAAUAUAAAAUAAUAGCUCAAUUGUUAUACUAAAUUGAUGAAAAUAUAAGGGUAAUUGAGUUAGGAAAAUAUUUGAAUAUAAAGUAAAAACUUUAUUGUUAAACUAAAUUGAUGAAAACAUAAGAAUACUUGAGUUAGGGACAUAUAUGAAAACAAAAUAACAACUCUAUUAUUAUAAAAAAUUUAUAAGAAAACAAGGUGUAUAAAUGAUUUUUUCUGUUCUAGACCAAGCUACAGCCUAGUCUAGCCAGCUGUAGGUCUCCCACUACUUGCUAUUUACAUACAGACAUGUGGCCCUUAUUCUAAUAUCUAUAGGAAAAGACACCUAUACUCCAAGAUUUGAAGAAAGAUUUGAAGAAAUAGUCACGUAGAUCUCUAAGUUUUCAGUAACCACAAUUUCUCUUUGACUAUAAUAUUUUUUGUACUUAGAAAAAAAAAUGACUUUAGAUUUUUUUAAUAAAUAUAAAUAUAAGUUAAAUAGUUUAAUUUGUCUAAUAGACUAAUAAUAUUAGAAUAUUUUUAAUAUAUAAAAUAAUUUUUAAAUAAAAAAUAUUAUAUUUAUUUUAAUAAUAUAUUUUUAUUUAUCAUAAAAAUAUUAAAUAAAUCUUUGGGGUUAAAUAGAAUUUAAAAUUAAUAAAACACAUCUCAUUAAUAAAAUAUAUCUCAUGUACUAAUAAUAUUGAAAUUAUUUUAAUAUAAAAUUUAUUUUAAAAUAAAAAUAAAUUUAGAAUAUUGAAAAAUUUUAUAAAAUUUAUUUUAAUAUUAUGUUCUUAUUUAUUAUAAAAUUUAGUCUAAUAUAAUGUAAGAUUGUAAAGUAUAAAAAUAUUUUCCUAAAUUGAAGUUGUUUUAAAAUGUUAAUAUUUUAUGUUUAUUUCAAUAUUAUAUUUCUAUUUAUUAUAAAUCAUAGGAGUCAAUUUUUUUCAGUUAAUAGAAUCAAAGGGUAUUAUAGUCAAAAGAGGUAUUGGUAUUCCUUAUUAAAAAUUUAGGCGUCUACAUGACUAUUUCCCAAACCUUAGGGUGUAACUUUCUUUUCUCCAAAAUUUAUGAUUCUCUGUAGGUAUUUCAUGAAGGAAAACGAUAUUUACACUGAAUCAAAUCCCGAACUAAUUAAAAUGCACUAUUUCAGCUUAAAUAAUGGUAAAUAUUUGUUUAGUCUCUAUAUUUUGAAUUAAGUACCGUUUAGUCCCUCAAGACACCUUUUUCAGUAAGCACAAUAUAAUCCUACCCUUACUUUUUCUUUGAUUCUAUAAUAACAUGCUUGCAACAAUAUUUUUAGAUAUGUUAAUGUAAAGAAAAAUUUAAAUUUAUCAAAUCAGCCUUAAAAGAAAAAUACAAAUUAGUUGUUAUUAUUAUUAAUAAAAUAAUAAAAUAAUAAAAUAAUAAUAACAAUAAUUAACAUUAAUUAAAAUAAUAAAGUUAAUAUAUUAUAUAAAAAAUAAUAUUUACAUUUAUCAAUUUUUCAUGUGUUCAAAAUUUUUUAUGUGAUAUUACAUUAUUAUCUUUACACCAUCAAUCAUUUUUAUGAUCAAGUUAGGCUAAUGGAUCAAACUUUAAAAAAUUUAAAACAAUAGGAGUUAUAUAAAUAAAUAUUUAAAAAAUUUUGUUUUUAUGAUAUUAUAAUAAACGGUAGAGACUUAAGUGUUAAUAACCAAUUGAACACGUUGAACACUUUAGCUAUUAGAUCUGGCUAAAUUAGAAAAAGACAAAAUUUAGGGUACCGUGCAACUGUUGCAAGGUAGGCGGACCCGUUAUAUUUAAUAUAGAAUAAAUAAACUAAAUAUGUGUAAAGAAUCUAGGUUAGUAACCUUGCAAUACUUCAGAAAAUUAUAAAAUACAAAAGGUGAAAUUUCAAAAUAAGGAAUUGUAAAAAGUGUUAGGUUCUAAAAUUUUAUUAUUUUAAUAUUACAAAAAUUUACUUUUUUAUUACAUUUUUAUUUUUAAUAUUAGUUGACAUUUUAGUUUAUUUGUAUAUAAUAUAUGUUAAUUUACCUAUAAAAUACUAAUAUUACUCUUGAAAUUUAAAGAAGUCAUUUUAAUUUUUAAAAAUUUUAAAUGUAGCCCAACAAAGUCAUAGAAAUAUAAAUAAAGAAUAACAUAAAAGGAAGUUAAUUUAAUUUUUUUAAGAAUAUUUCAAAAGCAUUUGAGUUUUAUGUUUCUUGAGAAUUAUACCAUUUUUUUUUAGAUAUUUGAGCUUGUGAAACUUGUUGUAAUGAUAAUUUAUUAUUUAUUCUUGAUUAAAAAUAAUUGAAUAGUAAAUUUAUUGGCUUCUAAUUACUCUUUUAAAUGUAGGGUGGUUGCUUAAUUUUUAUUAUGUUUCCUUAAACUUUUUGAUGAUGGCUAAUCAACCAUUGCAAAAGACUCUACCUGAUUAUUGUUUCCUUAAACUUUUUGAUGAUGGCUAAUCAACCAUUGCAAAAGACUCUAGCAUGAUUAUUUUUACUUUCUCUACAUCCCUCUAGACCAUCAUCACUCAAAGAAUUAAGGGUUCACUUGGCAUACUGUAUUAUACUAUACUGUAUUGCAUUAUUUAAUAUGGGUAUAUUGUAUUAUGUUAUAUUACAUUAGUAAUAAAUUAUAAUAAUAUUUGUACAACAUUUGGUAAUUGGUAUUACAUUGUACUGCAUUAAUUUUAUAUUAAUAUUAAACUAACAUUAUUUAAAUUUAUUAUUAAUUAUAUUAAAUUAUUAUUUUUAUAUUAAUUAUUUUUAUAUAAAUAUAAUAUGAUAUAAUAAAAUAAUAUGAUAGUAUAAUUUACUUUUAUGUUUUUAUUUAUUAUAAUAAAAAUAAAAAUAUAUUUAAUGCUCAAUUAAGGUAAAAUAAUAAUAAUAACAAUAGUAUUACUUAAAAAAAAAUCUAUAAAGUUUAAUGAUGAUCAUGAUGUUGACGACAUUAAUAAUAACAUAACAAUUAAAAUAAUAAAACUAAUAAAUUUUAAUAAUGUUAAUAUUAAUAAAAUAAUAAUAACAAUAAUUAACAUUAAUUAAAAUAAUAAAGUUAAUAUAUUUUAAUAAUAGUAAUAAAAUUAAUAUUAAUGACAGUAAUAAAAUUAAUAAAUAAUAAUAUGACUUAAUUAAAAUAAUUAUAACAAUUAAAAUCAUAAAUUUUAACAAUAAUAAUAAUAAUAAUAAUAUUAUUAUUAUUAAUAUAAUAAUAAUGACAUUAAUAAAUAAUACUAAUAAUAACAUUCAAAUUUUUUUUAAAGCUAUUUUAUCCCAAAAAAGGGACUUAUAUAUAAAAUUUUGUAAAUUCUAGUGUCUAUUCAAAAUUUUCAUAAAAUAUAAGAUAGUGCAGUGUAAUUAAUAAAAAAAAGACAAAAUGAUAUGCUGCAACCGUUGCAACAUAUUUUCAUCCUUGUUUGUGAUCCUUAAUCAAUAAAAUAUCUGACAAUAUCUUCGCCAAAAGUUUAAGACAUGUGAUCCUUAUUCCACAGCGUCAAUGAAACUCCAGUCAAAUGCUGCCAUCAUUAUUGAACAGUCGAUAUCCAGCACGUGCACGAAGAUUCCAAGAAGUUGCAUGGCUAUCGACUUUUAGAUGCUAAGCCUCAUUGCGUUGAUGAUACACAAAACAGACGGUCAAGGUAAUUGCCAAAACUUAGAACUAAACAGUAGCUUAGUCAGAAAAUCAAACGCCAGUACCGGUAAAAUGACCGAUAAAAAUAUAAGGACAUAAAAAUUUUAAAGUUUUACUUUAUUGCUUUUUUAAUCUUAUUACUAUUUCUCCUUGCACUUCUAAAGAAACCAAAGCUUUAAAAGAAAUCAGCCAAAUCACAAAGAUUGAAGAGUAAAUCUAUGGUUUUAAAUUUUUAUUUUAUUUUUUUAGAUAAUAGAUAUUAUUUUGAUGAAUUUUUUAAUAUUAGAAUAAUGUUAGGAAUUCUAACAGUAGAAUUCUAACUUGGAACCCAAUUGAUAUGUGUCAUUUUUUCAUUGGAUAAUGAAUUUCAUCACUAGUAAAAUUAAUAUUUGGAUCAUCUAAUAAAUGACUACCAUAUCAAUUGGGACUCAAUUAUUGGGAUCCUUAAAAUUGCUCUUAGUAUUAUAUUGGACAUCUUAGCUAAAUCAAAUUAAAAAUUAAAUUAGAUUUUAGGCUUUAUUCAACAUCUCUUUUUGUCUUUUUUUUGGUCUAUUUGAAGUGAACGAAAUAAAAAUACAAUAGGGUCAACGACUGGGCAAUUGAUAGUCAAGUAGAAGCAAAUCAAGGCUAAAUGGGAAAGAGAAAUUAUAUUAGUGCAAAACAAGGAGAAAAACAGUGUAACAGAAGAGAAUCAAAGUGCUUUUGAGAUCAGAAAUUGAAACAAGAAAAGGGUCGCUUGAUCCAAUGAAAAUGCAAAGAGCUGACGGCAAAAGGGAAUAAAGUUAAAUAAGAAAAUAGCUAGCGCUAGCAGCAACCACAAUAAACAGAAAAUUUGAGAUGGAUUUACAAUAUUUCUGCCUUUCUUCAUGCUUUAACAAAUAUUGCUUUAUAAAAAAAAAGAAAUUGAGCGUUUUUAUUAUUGGAGUCACAAAAGACCUACACAAUAUAGCAAGUGACUGGGAAUAAAUAAAAAUAUAUAACUGAUAAGUGCAUAUUUUCCAUAUAUUUUGUUAUUAAUUUCUCCAUCUUUUUCUUGAUUUGAUCUUAAAUAUUCUAGUUAUUUUAGUUAAUUUUUAAUUAAUUGUAUUAUUUUAUUGAAUAGGGAAUUAAUUGGAGAUUGUGGAUAAAAAGGGCAUGAAGAAAUUCAAAUUGAGAAGGAAUAAGGAUUAAAUUGGAAAAGGAUUUCAAUUAGAAUGGAAAAAGGAUUUCUUUAUUCUUGUUGGAGAAGAAUUCGGUCAACUAGCUUUAUAAAAGGGGAGCUGCUGGAUGAAAAAAAAGGAGGAGAAUAUUCGGCAGCCAAGAGGAUUUGAGGAACUAGCAGCCGAAAGAAGGAAAAGCAAGGGAGAAACCGAAAAGGAAUUGAAGAAAAAGGCAGCUGCUUGAAUUAAUCUCCAUGAUUGGUUUUGUCAAUUCUCUUAUUUCCAAUUCAAUUAUGUUAGGCUAGAUUUUUAUUUGGUUGAGGGUGAAUUCAAAACCCUAAACAUGCUAUGCAAUUAAAUUUAAAUUCUAUCAUUUAAUUUAUUUAAUUGAGAUUGUUUAUGUUCUUCUAUAAUUAAUGUUCAUGGUUUGUUCUUGUUUUAUUUGAGUGGCCAAUUAGAUAGGACUUGAAUAAAUUUUAUUGCUAGAUUAAAAUUCUUGAUCCGUAAUUAUCUUGAUAUUUUAAUUAUUAGUAACAUGUUGGAAUUAGUGAUUUCAAUUAAAGAACAUAACCUAGGUUAAAUAAUCCGAGCUUGUGUGUUUAUUGCCUAGAUCAACCUAAUAUCUUUCUCUGUUUAAUGCUUCCAUUAUCUUAAAUUUAAAGAGCUUGUUUUAAAUUAUUUAAUGGUUAGAGAUUAGGUGAAGAGCUUAUUUUGCCUAACGACACACUAAGGAAAGAUUGAGACUAACAGAGCUUAUUGUUGUCUACGGUUGAUAGUUUUAAUAUAAAUUAAUGAUAGAAUUGAUAUAUUAUGUGCAUGUUUGGUGGUGGCGAAUGAUCCUUUAACCAAAGUUUUCAUCAUUAAUAUUUCUUUCUCCUUUAAUUAGAGUUUUUAUUAAAUUCUUGUUCGUAGUUUUAAUUUCUUUACUUCUUACUAUUUAGUUAAAAAUUCAUAAACCCCCUCUUUUAUUUAUAAUUGGUAAUUUCCUUAGUUAGAUUAAUUUAUAUUAUUAUUACUACUAUUAUUUUAUUUUAAAUCUUGCUUUAGAGUUGAUAAUAAAUAUAACUACAUAGUCUUUGUGGGAUCGAUCCUUACUCGCUCUGUACUAAUUAUUUAUAUUAGUGGUAAGGUUAUAAAUUUGGUGCACCUUAACGACACUACCAAAUUUUUGUAACUCUCUCUCUAAUUCUCACUCUAGCUUUUAAUUGUCACUCAAAACCCAGAAUUCAUCCUUAAAGUGUAAGCAAAUCAGAGAUGACAACGUCUGGCUGUCAUACGUGCCUUUUAGUUUUCGGAUGACAUGGCGUACACUUCUUCUGUAAACCGAACACGACAUGUCGUACUCUUUGUUUUGAGAUCAUAUUUCAAACUCUUCAUGCUAUGAAUGAAAGAUAAACUACAAUCAUAAACAUAUUUAGUGUUUAUUUGGUAAUGUAACGUUAUAGUUGUUGUGAAUUGAAAUUAUUUCUGUAAAAUAAAAGGAAUAUUUAUAAUAGUAUAAAAGGAAUAUUAAUAGAGGAUGUAUUAAUAUAAAAUUUGUUUAUUGGUGUUGAAGUUAAUUAUCUCAUUAAUAAUACUAUAAAAAUUUUAAUUACUAAGAAACACAUAGCAGUAGUUAAUUGGUGUCAUAUUAUUGGGAUUCAGGGAUAUAAUUUUAUAUCAUAACUUUGUAAGUGUAUAAUUACUCAUUAAAUUAAGAAAAUUAUUUAAAAAUAUUUAGUUGGAAAAAAUAAAUUAUAUUCUUUUUAUUUCAAAUAAUCUAUAAGUUAACUCAAAACAUAAUCAAGCUGAGAAUUAAAAUAAUGCUACUAUAUGAGAGGAUUUUUAUUUUUUCCCGAAGUUUCACUAGGAAAUUAUUGAUAUAUAGCUUUAUUCGGAUCAUCUCAGUUCAAACAACAAAUAAUUGAAAGACUAAGCUAAAUAGACCAGCCAACAACUUUGUGCAAGAGAGUUCAAAAAUUAAGGUCAUGGUAUUGAGGUGUUCUGUCUUGAAAAGUACAGCAUAGUGAUAAAAUAAAAACUAUUAAUCUAUGGUAAGGUAUGACUUUUAAAUAAUAAUUUUCACAAAAAUACAAAGAAUAUUUAUAAAGUACUUCUAUAGUGAGGAGAUCCUUACUUUGUUAAAGUAAAAAUAUCAAUAAUAUAAAAAAACAUAUAUUUUAACACAUUAAGAACUGUAUUUUCUUAAUCUAUUGGUGUAUUGAAAUAUGUGUUAUUUAGUUUGUUAGUGACAUCAUCACUUUGUUAAAAUAAAGAUGUCGUCACUAGAGAAUCAUUAUAUAUACAUAUAUAUAAAGUGUUUCUCUCCAAAACCUAGACUUUAUUAAAAUUUAAGAAAGCAAAUAUAUUUUAUAUGGUAUAAUAGUGUAAUAACAUCACACAAUUAUAUCAUAUAGAGUAAUAGUUUUUGGAACUUUAAUAAAGUUCAAGAUUAUAGAAUGAAUGAUUUAUAUAUAUUAUAAUUUUUUUAUCAUAGAGUGGAGGACAAAAUUAACAUAUUUUCUAAAUUAUAAUAAGUAAUUAUCAAAUAAUUUAACAUUGUAUUUCUCCUAACUAGUAUAGUAAAUAUGACCUAGGAGGUACAUUCAAAGCAUUUCAUAAGUUAGUUGUUAAUAAUAAAUGAUACAUGCAGCUCCAAUCAUCAUUGUACGGUGAGUAAUUUCCAGUUAUAAAUAGAUAUUACUCCCUUCUCAGCAAUUUUUUAUGGCUUAAUUUAGUGGGAUCAAAUCAAAAUCAACAUUGAAUAGUCAAAAUAUUAAUGACCAAACAGACCCAGAUAGAAUAAUAUUAAAUGUAGUUAUCUCAAACAAGAUAGAAUAAUAAUUGAUAAGGUAGGUGUAUGAGUGUGUGUGAUGUGUACUCUUUAUGCCAUUGUGUAUAUAUAUAUAUUUGUUUUUUUUUUCUAUUUCGCGUGGUUCCACCAUGCAUAAUUGAAGGGCUUCAAAUUCUUAAACGUUCGGUCACCGAAAUUGAAAUCCCAAUGGAACAAGUAAUUAAGCAUGUUAAUUCAACAAGAUUCACUCCCUUUAUUACUUAAAAGUUAUUUUCGCUUUUGAUAUUGAUACUUAUUUUUACAUUUGCAUGCACUAGGGCAGACGCGAAGCUAAAGGUGGGCUAACCCAGGCAGCAGCCUCGGUUAGCUUUUUGAAAAAAAAUAAUUAAUUAUAAUUUAUAAAUUUAUUUUAUUAAUAUAUAUAAAAAAUAAAAAUAAAUCUAAUAUUUGAUAAUAUUUUUCUUAUUUACAUUGUAUUUUUAUAAUUUUAUGGUUAGAUUUUUAUGUAUAUAGUGUGCUUAAUUUCGUUUAUAUAAAACAAAUUUUUUGAAAAGUAAAUUUCAUUUUUUAAAAAAAUCUAGCCCACCCAAAAAAAUACGCUAGCUUCGCCACUGCACUAGGGACAUAUUAAUCAGGUGGGUUAUAUUACAACCAGAGGAUUUAAAUUUGAUUUAAGAUAUGUGGGGUCUGCUUUUGGAUUUAGAAAAUUUGCCCAUUAAGAGUUGAAACCAAGUGACCUACCGUUAGAUUAGAUUAAUAGUGAUUUCUUGUAGUAAACAUUUGUGAAUUUGAAAUAUGUGAAUUCUAUCCUGGUGAUACAAAACAAGCUUCUUGUACACGAGAACUAUUUGUUUUUAUGAUUUGGAAACCAAUCUAUAAAGAUGAAUUAAGUUGGCAUAAUGGUACAAAGCAACUUUAAUUUUUCAAUAAAUUCAAAAGUUGGCAGGUUGGUUGUGAUUAUUAUCUUUUCUUUUUUACUAUUUAAACUACAAUUAAUUGAAUCCAAAGACUAAAGGGUUGGAUCGAGAAGAAACUAAUUUUAAGUAGACAUUCCGGCGAAAAUCACUCCCAUGAUCGAGACACUCAUGCAAUCAAUACAAAAAAUGGACACAAAAAUUGUCUACUUAAGUUUGGUUGAAUGAUUUUAAAAAUAGUUUUAUUUGUUUCACACUCGAAUUUGUAUUUUGAAAAAGAGUGGGAGUUAAAAAUUGAUUUACACUUUAUCAAUUACUCUAUUUUAAAAAGAAAUAAAUAUUAAAAAAAUAAAAACAUUAAUUUCUUGUUUGUUUGUACUUACCAUUGUAGGAUAAAUAAAGUGGUUGACAAAAAUUAGAUAUCUUAAAAAUAAAUUCUAAAUUUAUAACUAAUGUAUAAUGAUUUCAAUUCACAUGUUUCAAUCCCAAAUAAAUUCUCCUUUGGUUAUUUGAAUCUUAGCACGGUAAGAUUUCAUUCUCUUGUAUGCAUUUGUGUAAACUUCUCCCUUUACCUUUAUCAUUUUAUCAACUGUAUUGAUUGCCAAACAACUUUAGGGUUUAGGCAUGAAUCACACAAGGGAAUGAUAUUGUGGCAAUUUUUUCCCCCUUCUUUCUUCUUUUUGAAAAAAAAAAUUAAUUAUAGCUUUGCUUUGAUGGGUAGAAGACUAGAAGACCAAUUAAUUUCUUUUUGUUGCGUGGUGAUAAUAAUGGUGAAAAUUGCUAUGUGCGUGUUGGUGAUUGCAUUGCUAAUCACAUAUUGCUUCCCAUCAUGGAGACAAAGGGGACCCCUCUAUCAAAGCUAGCUGUUGAAAUAUCAUACCCAAAAUCACAUGAAUUCAAAGGUUGAAUGGGAAAACGAUCUUGCUUCUUUGUAUGUUUUAUUUUAUUUAAAGACUUAUUUUUCCCAUAAGAGAUAAGCUUGGAUCUAUCUUUCCUUUUAAUCAUUUUAGCCUCCAACUCCCAUCUUUUUCAAAAGUUUCGUUUAGCCCAUUUUGAAUGGCAAGGUAAGCUUCAAUCAACGCUACAAGUUCUAGUGAUUCCCGUCAAUAUUCGAUUGCAUGUAUGUAGCUUUGAAUGCUCAAAUUUAUUUUAUUUAUUAGUUGUUAUCACUUAUCAUUUUCUUUUUAAUAAUGAGAUUUGGGCAUUUUCUUUUUAAUAAUGAGAUUUGGGUCCCUAGAUGGUGAUUAGCCAACAGUCUAGUUAUGAGAAAUUAAUGUCUUAAUUACAAUGACAAAAAAAGGCAAGUGGGGAUCUCAUUUGCCAUUAGGUAACACAACAUCUUCAGCAUUGGAGCUUUUCUUCCUUUCUCUCCUUCUUUCUUUCUUUCUCAAAAUAAUUGAAAAUCUAAUGCAAUACAAUUAAAUUGAUCAACGAUCUAAUUUAAUCAAUACAUUAUAUUAAGAUAUUUAAAAUAAAAUCGGUUCAAAUGGAAUGAGAAAUUCUACUCACAAAAUAACAACAUUUAUUCCCGAAUUCAAAUAACCUUGGAUUCCAAAUGCAUUCAAGACUAGCCAGGCUGCAUAUCCAAGAAGAAAACAAAAUCAAAACUUUAGCCACAAACAUAUACGUGUGUGUGUAUGUGUGUGUGUAUAUAUGUGUGUGUGUGUCUGUGUAUAUAGAGAGAGAGAGAGUUCUUUCACUAGGUUCAUUUGCGUGAAACUUUUUGAUCAUUUAGGUUUAAGACUAUAUCAUAUAUCCUAUUGCAUGAACAUUGAUUAAUAUGAAUGAGUCAAACCCACUAAGCUUGUAACAAAAUCUUUUCAUAGUUACUAGAGAAUAUUUAUAUUUUUUUCAAACAUUAAUAAAAUUAUUGAAUUGCUUUAUUUAUAGUAUGUAUACAAUUAAUAGUGUAUGGAUUUUUUUAUCUAUUGGUAUAUUGAAAUAUGUGUUAUUUAGUUUGUUAGUGAUAUCAUCACUUUGUUAAAAUGAGAAUGUCCUUACUAGAGAAUCAUUAUAUAUACAUAUAUAAAGUGCUUGUGCUUCUAUCCAAGACCUAGAUUUUAUUAAAAUUUAAUAAAGCAAAUAUAUUUUAUAUGGUAUAAUAGUGUAAUAACAUCACACUAUUAUAUCAUAUAGAGUAAUAGUUUUUCGAUUUUUUUAAAGUUCAAGAUUAUAGAAUGAAUGAUUUAUAUAAAUUAUAAUUUUUUUAUCAUAAAUGGAGGCGAAAAUUAACAUAUUUUCAAAUUAUAAUAAGUAUUUAUCAAAUAAUUUAACAUUGUAAUUUCUCCUAACUAGUAUAGUAAAUAAUAUGACCUAGGAGGUACAUUCAAAGCAUUUCAUAAGUUAGUUGUUAAUAAUAAAUGAUAUAUGCAGCUCCAAUUAAUCAUCAUUGUACGGUGAGUAAUUUCCAGUUAUAAAUAGAUAUUACUCCCUUCCCAGCAAUUUUUGAUGGCUUAAUUUUGUGGGAUCAAAAUCAACAUUGAAUGUCAAAAUAUUAAUGGCCAAACAGACCAGCUGCCAACAACUUAUUCCAAUGUGAGUAGUUCACAGUGGGUACUGCACAUGAUGCUUGUUUCUCCUUUUGCAUCUAUUUUUGUUGUUAACAUUAAUUUCAAUAGCAGCUCUUUAAUCCCAAUUGUUGAUUUGGGACUAGAUAAGAAUUUAUCUUGGAACUCCAAUUCUCCCAAUUAUUUUAGUUGACAAUAUGUUUAACAUUAUUUUUUUAACAUUAUUAAUUACAUAUUAUUUAAUUAUCAGUAUAUAAUAUUCUUUAAUUUUCUAAUUUUAUAGGAUUAGACACAAAAUUGAUUAUGCCUUUUGAAAUUUAAGGGUUAUGUCAAUUGAAUAGAAAACUUGGAGUUAAACUUGUGGAUGUUUUUGUUGAUUAUCAAUUUAUGCAUGAAUUUUUGUACGUUUAUUUGGCUUAUUAUUAUUACUUUUAAACAUUUUUAUUGGUUUGAUUUAGGGUCAGUUUGGUAAUUCUAUAGCUUUUAAAAUAAUUACAGUUAGCUAUGCUGUAGAAAUUGAUCAAUCGUCAAGAGAAUCAGCUGAACAUUUAGUAAAAUUUAUUUUUAAAAGUACUUUUAGUUUUAAAAGCGUCGCAUGUGUUUCGUAAGUUAUAUACAUUGCUGAUUCUAUAUUAAUAAUGUUAUGUUCUAUUUUCAGAAAUUAUAAUACAAAAGUUUUUACAAUGGCGUGCAUCUACAAACUGAAUUGACUUGUAGAAUAAGAGCUUGGAGUAGUGUUAUGUUCUUGAAUAAAUGAAAGUUCAUAUGGUGUAAGAGCAUGUAGAUGUAAAGUGUCAUUACCAUUUCUAUAAAGGACUUUCAUUCUGUUCGGAUGCUCCUCUUGAACUCUGAAGGGUGCUUCAUUCAUAACACACAUAAUUUAUGCCAGGGAAGAGAAGAUGCCAAAAAAGUUGAAGGUGAUCAUUCAUAACUUUUCAGAAAGUUGUUGCAAAACAGAAAUCACCCAUCACGAUCGGUCGUACAAGUGUCUGCUACGAGUGCAGCAAAACGUUUGUCACGCUAGUUGUGCUAAAUGGACCUCUCCUGUGUGCCUCUAAAAUCAAUGCAUGUGAUCAUGUCGGUGAUUCAAUGGCUGGUGGGGAUGAGUCCACUCAAAUUCUGAAACUAAUCAGGUGAAAUAUAAACCCUUUUUGUCUCCUUCUUUAAUUGUAUGUUUUACUAUCCAUGUUUUACCCAAAAAAAUUGUAGGUUUACACUUUGCAAUCAAAUUUUGUAGUUGUGCUUUUUUCUUGCUUUUAUCCUAAUAAGCAAAAAAUCUAAUUAAUCCUAAUUAAAGGUGUUUUAAAAUUUAAAUAGAGAAAGUACCAUUGAGAUUUGAGAGAAAAUGAAUCGAUUGAUUUACUUCACAGUAUGAAUACACAGAGAGUUCGCUUGCUUUAUAUGCAGUAAUCUAACCAACUUGUUAACUAAGCUACUAUUCCCAGCAAAUCAAGCUAACCAAUCCCACUACUCAGCUUGUCUACUACAGAUCACAGAACCACUUGGGCUGAGCCGUAAUUCCAUGUCAUCAGUCUGUGCAACAACCUCAUUGAUCACUUGUUGUGCUGACUAUCGAACAACAGUGUGCCUCUUUAACAUAAUAGACUAAGCUCGUAUGCAUAGGAAUGGAUCUUUUAUUAUUGUCAUUAACUAUCUGUCCCUAAGGGUUUGGUUGAGUGAUUUAUUCCUUUAGUUGGCCCUCCCAAUCUUUUGGAUUGUUAUUGUCAUUAAAUAUCGGUCCCUAACUGCGUGAUGUAAGUACUUUCUAGAAGAUAUCUAAAUGGUAAAGCGACAUUACCAUUUCUAUAAAGGACUUUCAUUCUGUUCAGAUGCUCCUCUUGAACUCUGUAAUUCAGAUCCUAGCUAUAACUACUAGCUUUGAUUAAUUAAUUUCCUGUACUAGCUGAAACAGAUUUAUUUAUUUAAAUAAUUGUGUAUGUACUAAUUAUAAUGAAAGUAUAUGAAGAAAUUUUUUAACAUGAAUGACUUCUAAAUGACUUAAAAACCUAAACAAAUAAUGCUCAUUUCACUUGAACGAGCCUAUUAAUACUUGUAUGUCUAUGAUUUUUAAUAUUGGCUUAAGCGUUUCAGUUAAAUGGUUUACAUAAGAGGGAAAAAAAUUUAAUGGAAAACUUUAGAGUUCUAACAGAAAUAUAAUUGACUAUGCAGAUAUAGUUAUUUUAUGGUAUACAAAUCAUGUUGCCUUAAUCUCAAUGUCCUAUGACCUAUUUUAUUUUAUAUAGUCAUUCCUUUUGGCCAUGGCUUUUUGUUUUUAUGAGUACGGAAAUAGUGGGAUUUGGUGUAUCUUAGCAUCUUUGGAAAAUUCUCUUUAAAUGUGGCAAACAAAAAUAUACAUAUAAUCAAGUUUCUUAAUCAACUAUCAUAACUGGCUAGCUAGUUCUUGCCUGCCUUGCUGCCAUUACCCAGGCCAUUACAUUGCAUAGCAUAAGGAAUAGUGAUUAGGUGAUUAUUAGUGACUCGUUGAGCUUAUUAUUGACCAAACAAAUAUAUUUGCCUUUACCCACAACUUAGUUUGAUUAGUUAUUAGACCAUAAAGAGCGUAAAUCUGUUCAUUGGCUUUGUUAUUUUUGUUUGGUUUUUCUUUCAACAAUACUGUUAAUUUCUUAUAAAAAUAUUCAUUGGUUUUUAAACACCUAAUCAUUGGCUAUAAUGAAGCUAAUUGAAACUGAGGCUUUGGAUCAAUUCCUUCUGGCAAGAUACAAAUGAGCAUAACCUAUAUCCUCUAAGUAAAUUUUUCUAAUAUGCUUGAUUUGUUAGUAUCCGGAGGCUUGAAUCCUCUAGAUUUUUUUAACACUGUCAAUGUUCUUUUUACUCUGAAAAGGGAAAAAAAAGGUUAUAUCUUUCAUACCCUAAUAAUAAGUUGUCCUUGACUUAACAUGCCUUCCUGAGGAUUUGCAAGAUUCACAAGCAGCUCAACAACACCCCCCCCCAAAAAAAAGCAAAUACGAAGAUUUUGCAAGAUUCACAACCAGGUUAUAUUUAAUUUAUUAAUUGUGUGCACGUACUAGUUAUAUGUUGAAAGAAUAGGAAAAAGUAUUUUAACAUGAAUGACUUAAAACUUAUUGCUCAGUAAACUUAAUCUGCAUCAGUGCUAGAUAAUGUAUUUAUUGUUUGUAUUUUUUAUGGAUUUGCUUAAGAAAUGAUAUGCGAAAUAAUGCUAUAUUGUAUUAGGAAUAAAUUGAAGAGAUUUAUGAUAUUUAUGUGUUUUUAAAUUUCAGAUUGAAUUUUAAACUUUCAAUACAUGCAUUGAAAGCUUAGAUCGUUUAAGAAAUUAUUAAUAGACACAUGUUUUAUUAGUGUCAUCUUUGGAUGAUAGCGAGGAUCAUAUGUCUAUUAAUAAUUCUUGAAUUGUCUAGGCUUGAACUGUUUGGGAAUGCAUAGUUUUCUACGGUGGCUAGUAGCUGAAGUUUUUUUCCCACGUAAAAAUGGGUUUUUCGCUAGCUACUUCUCAUCUUCUUUGGGUGCAUACUAGAUAACACAUACACACUCAUAUAUCUAUGUCGUGUGCUAGGAGAACUAUUGGGAGAUGCUGCCGAAAUUCCUAUAAACGUAGAAGAAAACUUUAAAGUACUUGAGAUUGAAGAGACUUAUGCAUUCUUGAGAGGGAUAUAUGGGACCACUUACCUUUUGUAAAUAUGAAGGGAGUGUUGGACAUAUUGAUGGGAGUGAAGGAGCUGAGUUGGAUGGAUGUAAUUGGUUAUGGUUUUGCUGAGUUAACUUGGUUUUGACCUAGUAGUUUUGUUUAUAAAUGGAGUACUAUCUCCAAUGUUGGUUUAUAAAUAUGUUUCAGCUGGCUGACCUAAUUUUUUGUUUCUAGGUAACAGGCUUUAUAUCUGUAAUUGAUAGCCAACCGAAGUUCUCAGCUGUGGGUGAGGAUAUUUCUUUACAGAAGGUAUUGGAAACUGUUUUUUACAUUAAUUAUUGUGGUAUUUAUACUUGAAAAUCUUUUUCUCUGAUUCUUGUCGCUUUGCUUGCUUUCAUAUGUAUAAAUUCUAAUGAAAUUAACCAUAAAAUUGUAUAAUGAUUUUUUUUAAUUAUAUUGCAAAACUGUGCACACACGAAAAUAUCUUGGUCAUUAGUAGAAAUGAAGAACUAAAAUGAUUUAUCUAACUAAUUUUUGUAGUGCAUUAAAAGGAGAUGAAAAUGGAGAAGAGUUGGGUUGGUUUGGCAAAUAGAUAUCCAAGUUAUAGAUUUUGUAUUUGAGAAUGUUGUUGGUAAUGCAAGAAUUUAUUAUCCUUGUAAGGAGUGUCGAAUAUUUUGUUUUAAGGGAAGUAUCAAGAGACCAUAUCAUUAUAAAUGGUUUUUGGUUAAAAUAUUAAAACUGGAUAUUGCAUAGUGAGCCAUCUUCAUCUUUGGAAUCUAGCCAAGAAACAAGUUGGUCGUGACUCAGGUGCUGAUGAUGAUAUGAUUGGAAUGAUACAUGAUACAUCACAUAAUCAAAUGUUCAAUUCACACGCAGCAUUGUUAUGGACUAUCAGUGACUUUCUAGCAUAUGCCAACUUGUUUGAGUGGAGUAUUAAAGGUAAAUAAGCAUUUCUUGUUUGCCAACAAAACACUAGAUCUAAUUGGUUGAUACAUAGUCGAAAAUUUUGUCACGUCGGUAAUGUCGAUUUUUACCGACGAAUCAUAGGUUUUGAAAAUAUAGUGCCUUUUGAUAAAAGUAGAGAGUGGGGACAAGCACCUUCUCGGAUGUCUGGAGCUGAAGUGAAAAAGCAGUUGAGUAAUAUACUUACUGAGUUUAAGAUUGAAGACUUGAAAAGAGGAGAAUGAGUAAAAUGAGAGAAAUGAUAAGAUUACUUGGAAGAAGAAAAGCAUAUUUUAUGAACUACCGUGUUGGGAGUCCAAUUUGAUUCAUCAUAAUCUUGAUCUCAUGGGCUGUUUUGAUUUUUGUUAUGAACUCUGAUCAAAAGUUUAAUUUGAUCAAAAUUUCUUAAAAAUAGUGAAAACGACUCCUCCUAAUAACAUGGACGAUGGCUAUAACAGAUAAAAGGAAAGGAUUAAAAAGAAAAGCUAUGCCUGUUAAAAAAAGAAAAAAAAUUGGUGGCGUCAAGUUUAUAACAAAAAUUAAAACGGUGCGUUUGAGAGUGUAUAAAAUACAUUUAGAAUGGGAGCUGUGUUGUUUUUUGAAGGUAGAAUGAUUGUGAGAUAUUUGUCGACGAAGCCGAAAUCAAAGAUGAAGCCCAUAGAGCUCAAAACUCCACCAGAGCAAACUCAAGACAAUUAUUGACAUAGUCAAUGAUUGUAUUUGACAUAGUCAAGGAACAGGGUCCUCUCACUGUUGUCGAAACAUGGGAACGCGUCAAGGUGUGUGCAUCUGAUUGAGUGUGUUUUACAUUCAAUGAUCACUGAUCAUAAUACUAGUAGUUGUUUUACAUUUUCAGCAAGCAGGAGCGAGUGGAUUGACGGGCAAAAGCCACAUGAAGAUUGAGUGUGUUGAGUAAGCAAAUCCUGUGCACAAGUUGGUUCACCAAACCCAACAACUUGAAGCAACCAAAAUCAGGGAAUGAUCCUUCUCCGUGAUGGAAGUAAAGCACCAGUGAUGGAAGCUCCUCAGCAUGUAAACUUUUCAACAGUAGCACAGCUCUUAUUCCAGAGGCUGCACAGAAGAGCGACCUGAAUCCUCUUCAAAACUUUCAAAUUUUUAUCAAGUAAAGCUUUCAAAAUUUCUCAGCAAAUAGAUUAUUCAAAUGAAAGAAACACAAGGGAGUGACCUGAAUCCUCUUCAAAUCAGGAAAUUUAUUGCAUAAAUUACAAGAAGCAGUACACACCAAUGGUAAAUUGAUAAAUCGUUUUUUAACUUAAUAUAGUCAAAUGAAAGAAACACAGCGGAGGGUUAAUAUAACACUUUCAAAGCUGCAUUAGUAAUACGUUAAAGUGAAUACCCUCAGCAUGUAAACUUAACUUCAAAGGACGGAGCACAAGUUUCACAGAAAAGUAGCUCUUAUUCCUGAUGCUGCAAACACAGAGGAGUGUCCUCAAUCUUCUUCAUAACUUGGGAAUUCUGCAAUUAUAGAGCACGACAUUGAGCAUGAACUAUAAAAAAUAUUUAUUUUCUACAAUUUUCAUAUAACCUGACUAACCAAGAUUAAUUUUGUGGUAAUGUAUUGGGUCAUUAAUUCAUAUGUUUUUACUGUCAUCACUUUAGAAAAAACUAAUUUCUCAAUGUGAAAUGGCCCAUAAAAAGUAUUCUCAUUUAAAAACUAAAUUUGACAAACCCCUCGAUUAAAGCAGGGGAGAGAAAAGAAAAAAAAAAGAUCUGAAGGCUUUCCACAUGAAAAUGUUGUCACUUUGGAUGAUAUUUUCAAGGGAUUUCAUUCUAAAAAUAAAAUACCUGGGACCUUAUUCUUCAAAUUGACAGCUAGCCCAGUACUAAACGCGUAUGAGAUCAGUACUGUACUGUGACAAGUAACGAGACGACCCCUCCAACAGCUGAAAAUAUAAUUCGGAUUCAUCAAUUUAAAUUAAAAUUCAUAUUAUGAAAUAAAAACUAAUGAUUAAUGAAUUUUCGAGGAAUUUAAUAAGAUUCUCAUAUAUAAACGUGAUAAAAAAUUCUCUCGUCAAUAACAAAUAUUCUAACAGUUACCCGUACCUUUUCUUGAUGUAAUUGUUGUAUGAUUGUGUUAAGGUCAUUAUUAGACCAACGCCGUUUGUCCUCACUCCUUCCGUACCAGACGUUUACUCUCGGAGGCGUGCUUAAUUCUCCUUUGGUGAAAAUCUUCAUCUUGGGACAACUAAUCACCCACAAAUCUUGCAAAGAUGGGAAUUUGAAGGCGUAAUUGCCAGAGGAGAAGCUUGUGAGGCUGUCUAAAUCAAACAGGGACAACGUACUCAAUUUGCUGAAAACAAUCUCUUCUUCUAUAUUUGCUGUUUCAUCUUCGUCACUUAUUACGACUUCUGUGAUUGCUCUGCAUCCAAAUACACCCAAUGAUACGAGUCGCUCUAGACUUUUUGCUGUGGAGGAUGUUAGUAAGUUCAUCAAUUUCUUGCAAGCAAAAGCUUGCAGGCGUGUGAGAUUCCGAAAAGAUACCGAUGAUGAUGGCAAUAGACUUAACAGAUUUUGACAGUGAAAUGCUCUUAGAGUUUGAAGAUGUUGAAAAAUGAAGUCCGGCUGCUUGGAAUCGUGUUUCCAUAGUUGCUGCAGACGAUUAAGUCUGGUCAGGUCUAACCUUUUUAUCAGUGCCAGCUUCCUCGCAUGUGUCUCCAAAUAUCCUUCAUUUGAAAAUACCACUUCGUAUGAACAAUCCGACAGGAAGAGAAGUUCCAGAUUGUGAAACUUCUCAAGUAAACCAAGUGGAAAGCAAGCUAAGUCAUCAUCCCGAACCCGUAGUCGUUGAAGACUGCCAAAGAGGUGUUGUGGGAAAUCG
rnacentral:lncRNA from 1 species